UACGGAGGGUGCAAACGUUGCUCGGAAUCAUUGGGCGUAAAGCGCACGUAGGCGGCCUGAUAAGUCGGGUGUGAAAGCCCUGGGCUCAACCCAGGAAGUGCACUCGAAACUGUCAGGCUUGAAUAUGGAAGAGGGUCGCGGAAUUCCCGGUGUAGAGGUGAAAUUCGUAGAUAUCGGGAGGAACACCAGUGGCGAAGGCGGCGACCUGGGCCAAUAUUGACGCUGAGGUGCGAAAGCGUGGGGAACAAACAGG
rnacentral:rRNA from 1 species